GAUGAACGCUGGCGGCGUGCCUAAUACAUGCAAGUCGAGCGAACGGACGAGAAGCUUGCUUCUCUGAUGUUAGCGGCGGACGGGUGAGUAACACGUGGAUAACCUACCUAUAAGACUGGGAUAACUUCGGGAAACCGGAGCUAAUACCGGAUAAUAUUUUGAACCGCAUGGUUCAAAAGUGAAAGACGGUCUUGCUGUCACUUAUAGAUGGAUCCGCGCUGCAUUAGCUAGUUGGUAAUGUAACGGCUUACCAAGGCAACGAUGCAUAGCCGACCUGAGAGGGUGAUCGGCAACACUGGAACUGAGACACGGUCCAGACUCCUACGGGAGGCAGCAGUAGGGAAUCUUCCGCAAUGGGCGAAAGCCUGACGGAGCAACGCCGCGUGAGUGAUGAAGGUCUUCGGAUCGUAAAACUCUGUUAUUAGGGAAGAACAUAUGUGUAAGUAACUGUGCACAUCUUGACGGUACCUAAUCAGAAAGCCACGGCUAACUACGUG
rnacentral:rRNA from 1 species